UUAAAUUGUAAUGCAAUAUUACAUAUAGUUAUUAGAUAAGCAAUGACAACAUGGGAUCUUGGAAAGUUUAGAAGAAUACAAGUGAGGUACGUCUCUUUGUUGUCUCAGGCAUAUAUACCCACACACUAGCCGCCUAACUGCAAAAGGUUAAAAUUUCAUCAAUCAUGCAUCUCAUAAAUUCAAAUUUCAUUAUAGUAUAUGAUUUGGCUUCAUUACUUUAUUUAGUUCGAGUAAAUCAAUUUUGCUAGGGUGAAAAUGUUGUCAAUCAAAAUAUCUAAAAGGGGUUCCUAUCAGCCUAUGUAUACACACUCGACAAAUUAGUCUAUGGAUAUCAAAUAAAUCAAUGCCUAUAUAUAUAU
rnacentral:lncRNA from 1 species